rnacentral:lncRNA from 1 species
UGCGAGGCUGUUCUGCUUGUAGCUUAUGUUGCCUUGGUUGGCUGAGCUUGUGGUGUUUGAAGGUGAGGGAGUCCCUUUUAUAGAAUAAGGGAUUGCUCAUCAAUACAUAAAUAUGGGCUAGAGUUGAUGCUCACGGCGAGGCAGUUGCUCAGUAGGCGGCGAUGCUCUUUAAUGAUGUGAGGGAAUCCAUUUUAUAGAAUAAGGGCUCGCUCCUCAAUACAUGAAUAAUAGGCUAGAGUUGAUGCUCUCUAAUGAUGGUGAGGGAGUCCCUUUUAUAAAAUAAGGGCUCGCUCCUCAAUACAUAAAUAUGGGCUAGAGUUGAUGCUCUUUAAUGGUGGUGAUGGAGUCCCUUUUAUAGAAUAAGGGCUCACUCCUCAAUACAUAAAUAAUGGGCUAGAGUCCCCUAAGUAUUUUUCAUGAGGCCCAAUAUAUGGUACAUAGUGUAGUCCCCAAAGUCUUCGGUCAAUGGAGUCUGUUGGUUGUUCGGAGGCAAUAUUUGCAUACCCUGCACUGAAGCUUUAUAGGUGAAGCUUUGCAAGUGAAGCUUUGAAGCUGGAGCUCUGUAAAUGAAGCUUUUGAAGCUAGAGCUUUUGUAAAUGAAGCUUUUGAAGCUAGAGCUCUGUAAAUGAAGCUUUUGAAGCUAGAGCUUUUGUAAAUGAAGCUUUUGAAGCUGAUUGACAUGAGUGAUGCUCAUGAAUGUUUAUGUUGAUUGACAUGAGUGAUGCUCAUGGAUGUUGACAUGAGUGAUGCUCAUGAAUGUUUAUGUAUGAUUGAUAUGAGUAAUGCUCAUGAAUGUUUAUGUAUGAUUGACAUAAGUAAUGCUUAUGUAUAAUUUGAAGUAUUGGGUGUACUUUGAUCACUUGGUUGGCGAUAAUAGCGGCAGGCUGCCGAAUAAUUUUGGAGUACUGGACGUACUUUUGAUCACCUGGUUAGCGAUAAUAGUGGCGGGGUGCCGAAUAAUUUUUUGUAGUACUAGGCGUACUUUUGGUCACCUGGUUGGUGAUAAUAGCGGCAGGGUGCCGAAUAAUUUUUUGUAGUACUCGCGUACUUUUGGUCACCUGGUUGGUGAUAAUAGCAGCAGGGUGCCGAAUAAUUUUUUGUAGUAUUGGACAUACUUUUGGUCACUUAUUGGUGCUAUUUUGGGCUUAUGGGCCUUCGCCCUCCACACAACAUUCCAGCCCAUUUAUUUUGGGCUUUGCGGUUUUUUUUAUUACACUCUGAUGAGGUUAUACAAAUGUCUCCGAAAGAUAAGAAAAAUAAAUUACAUCAUUCUGGUGGGGUGUUUAUUCCUUACUUUUGCAAUGUCCUCAUGUGCCUCCCUUUUGCUUUCUCUUUAUUUUUCUUUCUUUUAGCAGAUUACAGACAAGGGAAUAAUUCCAUUUCCUUUUUUUGCUUUUGCUUUCUGCUUUGCUUUUGUUUUUCUACUUUGCUUUUGUUUUUUCACCGCACUCUCUCUGUCUCUUCACCUGGUAGACAAAAUGAAUAAAAAUAGAAUUGAUAAUAGGAACUUAUCUUCUUCCUUAUUUUCCUGCACGUUGUGGAUCCACGUUUAGCCCAUCUUCCUUUUUCUUUUUCUAACUUCAUGAUUGAUUCCAACCUUUCAAUUCUUCUCCGAUGGAUUGUUGUCGAAGAUGAUGACGGCACUAAGGAUGUAGAACACAACGGGAUUGACAAAAACAUGAACAAUGAUAGGUUGGAAUUGGAAAUACGAACCCAUCUCAAUCGCCAUCUUCAUGUGAGGAGGAGGAGGAUGACUUUGGCAAAGGUGAGUUCAAUCAGAGUAAUCAUGGAAUACAGAAUCUAAUAUGUCAGCCAUUGGCGA